rnacentral:rRNA from 1 species
AUUGAACGCUGGCGGCAUGCCUUACACAUGCAAGUCGAACGGCAGCACGGGAGCAAUCCUGGUGGCGAGUGGCGAACGGGUGAGUAAUAUAUCGGAACGUGCCCAGUCGUGGGGGAUAACGUAGCGAAAGCUACGCUAAUACCGCAUACGAUCUAUGGAUGAAAGCGGGGGAUCGCAGGACCUCGCGCGAUUGGAGCGGCCGAUAUCAGAUUAGGUAGUUGGUGAGGUAAAGGCUCACCAAGCCGACGAUCUGUAGCUGGUCUGAGAGGACGACCAGCCACACUGGGACUGAGACACGGCCCAGACUCCUACGGGAGGCAGCAGUGGGGGAAUUUUUGGGACAAUGGGCGCAAGCCUGAUCCAGCAAUGCCGCGUGCAGGAUGAAGGCCUCGGUUGUAAC